rnacentral:rRNA from 1 species
CACGUAGGGCGCAAGCGUUGUCCGGAAUUAUUGGGCGUAAAGAGCUCGUAGGUGGUUUGUUACGUCUGCUGUGAAAACCUAGGGCUUAACCCUGGGCUUGCAGUGGAUACGGGCAGACUAGAGGUAGGUAGGGGAGAAUGGAAUUCCUGGUGUAGCGGUGAAAUGCGCAGAUAUCAGGAGGAACACCGGUGGCGAAGGCGGUUCUCUGGGCCGUACCUGACACUGAGGAGCGAAAGCGUGGGGAGCGAACAGG